rnacentral:rRNA from 1 species
UACGUAGGGGGCAAGCGUUGUCCGGAAUCAUUGGGCGUAAAGAGCGUGUAGGCGGUCCGGUAAGUCGGCUGUGAAAGUCCAGGGCUCAACCCUGGGAUGCCGGUCGAUACUGGGCGGCUAGAGUCUGGUAGGGGGAUCUGGAAUUCCUGGUGUAGCGGUGGAAUGCGCAGAUAUCAGGAAGAACACCAAUGGCGAAGGCAGCUCUCUGGGACGGUACUGACGCUGAGACGCGAAAGCGUGGGGAGCGAACAGG